rnacentral:rRNA from 1 species
GAAUAUUAGUCAAUGCUCGCAAGAGUGAACUAGCUAACUGAAAUCACAGGCUCCACUACGUGUGGUGAAUGUAAUAACGUAAGGGAAAAAAAUGAUAUUACCUUACUAUUAGUGUUGUCCAAAACUGGUGCCAGAAGACUCGGUAAGGCCAGAGACGCAAACGUUAGUCGUCCUAAUCAGGCGUAAAGGGUAUGUAGGCUGCUUUAAAAGUUUAGUAUAAUAUUUUAAUAGCUCUGUUUAAAUGGAAAAUAAUUUUAUUUAAACAGUAAAAUAUACAAUGAAUUAAAGCUAGGAUCAAAUUGAGGAUAAUUUAAAUAAUACUUAGUGUAGGGUUUACAUCUGGUGAUACUAAGGGGAGUACUAACGGUGAAAGCUUUUUAUCUAGAAAUGAUUGACGCUGAGAAACGAAGGUGAGAAUAGGAAAUAGGAUUAGAUACCCAGAUACCUCUCACAGUCAACGAUGAAUGGUGGUUGUUAGUUAGUUUUAUUUAACUGAUAACGAUGUUAACACGAUAACCAUUCCGCCUUGCGAGUACGGUUGCAAAACUGAAACCAAAAAAAUUAGUCGGUCUCGAAGCAAACGAAGUGAAGCAUGUUAUUUAAUUC